rnacentral:rRNA from 1 species
UUGAAGUGGAGUUCGUACAAGUAUCCGUCRSKRWMUUACGGMKGAUCWUUACACUCUNANARWCACCCUUYCACGUGAGCNGUUUGUUUYGCUUUCGAGUGCCUUGUURCGCWCUUMSCWUCAUUUGGGCUUCGCUGCUGGCGCUUGAUUGUGCUGGCGGCUCGAGGCCAUCAAGUGGCGUUUUGAGUGUGCUUUGCGCAAUUGAAACGUCGAAACCUUUUUUUUAAACCCAUUUGAUUGAAAACUGAAGUAUACUGUGGGGACGAAAGUCCUCGCUUUGAAACUAGAUAACAACUUUCAGCAGUGGAUGUCUAGGCUCGCACAUCGAUGAAGAACGCUGCGAACUGCGAUACGUAAUGCGAAUUGCAGGAUUCAGUGAGUCAUCGAACUUUUGAACGCAUAUUGCACUUUCGGGUUACGCCUGGAAGUAUGUCUGUAUCAGUGUCCGUACACUAAACUUGCGUCUCUUCCGUCGUGUAGUCGUCGGUUGUUUUGAUUGCAGAUGUGAGGUUGUCUCGCAGUCGACCACUUCUUUUGGAUGGAUAGGUUGCGAGUCCCUUUAAAAGUCGGACGCGUGUUUUUUCCGUUUUGUGCUUGAUGGGGGUGCGGCUGCGGCCGUGUCUGCUGGCGGGUCCGGUGACCUUUGGCGAUGGCAUGAGAGUGGAUUGCUCGAUUUGCGGUAUGUUAGGCUUCGGCUUUGACAAUGCAGCUUAUUGGGUGUGUUCGCUUGGCUGUUGCUGUAUGGGGUGAGCUGGAUGGUCGGUGGAUGCGUUUGUUGCGUGUCGUUUUUUCAUGGAGUGCGUUGCGGUUGUCGUCGCCAUUUGGGAAUUKMAUGUUUUGAGUCUCGAUUCAAUACAUCUCANUUGGACCUGAUAUCARACAAGAUUACCCGCUGAACUUAUGCUAUCAAUAGGGGGGAAGGAAA